AAGUAAAUAUGCUUCAUUACUGUCCGCCUCUGCUUAUAUGUUAUUUAGUUGUAAGUCUAGAAUCAGUUUUUUGAGAUGUUGGUAUUUCACCAUUGAGUACUAUGCAUUUAUUCAUGCAUUCCCAAAAAUAAACAUCCAAUUACUUGAAUUUAUAUUUAGGUAUUUAGCAGAAGCUUUUAUCCAAAGCGACUUACAAAUGAGGACAACAGAAGCAAUAAAAAUCAACAAAAGAGCAAUGAUAUGUAAAUGCUGUGACGAGUGUCAGUUAACCUAAUGCAGUAUGCACAGUGUCCCUCCAAUAGGAAAGUAAAGCAACAAUGCUUAACGGAGUCUGAUAUUAGAAUAAAUGAGUGCGUUGUGUUUACGUACUGCACAUAUUUGCUGACCAGCAGCCUACAUAGUUAAGUUUUGGAAAUUAGUGUUCCGAAUUGUUGUUUUUUUGCAGAAAUGGCAGGUUAAGUGGUUUCUUGUCAUCCUAUGUGAGAUUAUGAGCUUAAUGUAAUCUUACUGUACUUAAUUUCCACUUGGGUAGUGCUGUCUUAAUCUUCCACUGGUUUCCACUGGUUGUUGUGUUAGGACAGCGGUUCUCAAUUCCAGUCCUCGCGCCUCCCAGCUCUGCAUAUUUUAUAUGUCUCUCUUUGUUAGCAAAUUCUUUAAAUAUAAAAACAUACUUACAGACUGUGAGUCAGAACAGCCAGCAUUGUAGGCUACACUCCCAGGAUCAAGAAACAGUCCUCCAUAAAAUGUGCUGCACACAUCUGUAUAUUUGGUUUGAACUGUUCUGGAACAGUGUUGUAAAUACAACUUAACCACUGAUUUCUAGUUGUGUCCUCUUUUGAAAGGCCAAACAAAGUAGUUUCACUUUCACAACAAAAAAAAAAAGUCACACAAAGCGGGCUUGAGUGAGCGGAGGCCGGUGGGCUUGAGAAUGGUGUGCUUGCGGCAACCACAUGUGACGACCCCGGGCUGUACUCCACUUCGUCCACGGUGAAAGCCGAUCCGGCGAUUCACAGCGCCUUCAUGACAUGGUGGUGGCAACAAUACUACAGCGAGAAUAAAAGUUACGCCUUCUUUUUUUGCGUGAACGUUUGGGCGGUGUUAUGUAAAUCUUCCCACAUAGUGAUAAUGAUGCAGACUUACUCAACUCUGAGAUCUCUAGAAUGACCAGAUAAAUGUUUUGUCAUUACUGUAAAUCUACAGUAGGUGUUACGGUCUCAGUGCCACCUCCUGUCUCUGGU
ensembl:lncRNA